GAUGAACGCUGGCGGCGUGCCUAAUACAUGCAAGUCGAGCGAACGGACGAGAAGCUUGCUUCUCUGAUGUUAGCGGCGGACGGGUGAGUAACACGUGGAUAACCUACCUAUAAGACUGGGAUAACUUCGGGAAACCGGAGCUAAUACCGGAUAAUAUUUUGAACCGCAUGGUUCAAAAGUGAAAGACGGUCUUGCUGUCACUUAUAGAUGGAUCCGCGCUGCAUUAGCUAGUUGGUAAGGUAACGGCUUACCAAGGCAACGAUGCAUAGCCGACCUGAGAGGGUGAUCGGCCACACUGGAACUGAGACACGGUCCAGACUCCUACGGGAGGCAGCAGUAGGGAAUCUUCCGCAAUGGGCGCAAGCCUGACGGAGCAACGCCGCGUGAGUGAUGAAGGUCUUCGGAUCGUAAAACUCUGUUAUUAGGGAAGAACAUAUGUGUAAGUAACUGUGCACAUCUUGACGGUACCUAAUCAGAAAGCCACGGCUAACUACGUGCCAGCAGCCGCGGUAAUACGUAGGUGGCAAGCGUUAUCCGGAAUUAUUGGGCGUAAAGCGCGCGUAGGCGGUUUUUUAAGUCUGAUGUGAAAGCCCACGGCUCAACCGUGGAGGGUCAUUGGAAACUGGAAAACUUGAGUGCAGAAGAGGAAAGUGGAAUUCCAUGUGUAGCGGUGAAAUGCGCAGAGAUAUGGAGGAACACCAGUGGCGAAGGCGACUUUCUGGUCUGUAACUGACGCUGAUGUGCGAAAGCGUGGGGAUCAAACAGGAUUAGAUACCCUGGUAGUCCACGCCGUAAACGAUGAGUGCUAAGUGUUAGGGGGUUUCCGCCCCUUAGUGCUGCAGCUAACGCAUUAAGCACUCCGCCUGGGGAGUACGACCGCAAGGUUG
rnacentral:rRNA from 1 species